UGACAGAGAGCGUGUGAACGAGGCCCGUGU
rnacentral:piRNA from 1 species